UACGGAGGAUGCGAGCGUUAUCCGGAUUUAUUGGGUUUAAAGGGAGCGUAGACGGGAAGACAAGUUGGUUGUGAAAUCCCUCGGCUUAACUGAGGAACUGCAACCAAAACUAUCAUUCUUGAGUACUGGAGAGGAAAGUGGAAUUCCUAGUGUAGCGGUGAAAUGCGUAGAUAUUAGGAGGAACACCAGUGGCGAAGGCGACUUUCUGGACAGAAACUGACGUUGAGGCACGAAAGUGUGGGGAGCAAACAGG
rnacentral:rRNA from 1 species